rnacentral:rRNA from 1 species
UGGGGAAUUUUGGACAAUGGGCGAAAGCCUGAUCCAGCAAUGCCGCGUGUGUGAAGAAGGCCUUCGGGUUGUAAAGCACUUUUGUCCGGAAAGAAAUCCUUGGCUCUAAUACAGUCGGGGGAUGACGGUACCGGAAGAAUAAGCACCGGCUAACUACGUGCCAGCAGCCGCGGUAAUACGUAGGGUGCAAGCGUUAAUCGGAAUUACUGGGCGUAAAGCGUGCGCAGGCGGUUUGCUAAGACCGAUGUGAAAUCCCCGGGCUCAACCUGGGAACUGCAUUGGUGACUGGCAGGCUAGAGUAUGGCAGAGGGGGGUAGGAUUCCACGUGUAGCAGUGAAAUGCGUAGAGAUGUGGAGGAAUACCGAUGGCGAAGGCAGCCCCCUGGGCCAAUACUGACGCUCAUGCACGAAAGCGUGGGGAGCAAACAGGAUUAGAUACCCUGGUAGUCCACGCCCUAAACGAUGUCAACUAGUUGUUGGGGAUUCAUUUCCUUAGUAACGUAGCUAACGCGUGAAGUUGACCGCCUGGGGAGUACGGUCGCAAGAUUAAAACUCAAAUGAAUUGACGGGGUCAUAGCUGUUUCCU